rnacentral:tRNA from 1 species
GGAGAGAUGCCAGAGUGGUCGAAUGGGGCGGUCUCGAAAACCGUUGUCCUGCUUGCGCGGGACCGGGGGUUCGAAUCCCUCUCUCUCCGCCA